CCUACGGGUGGCAGCAGUGAGGAAUAUUGGUCAAUGGACGAGAGUCUGAACCAGCCAAGCAGCGUGAAGGAUGACUGUCCUAUGGGUUGUAAACUUCUUUUAUAAGGGAAUAAAGCGAGGCACGUGUGCCUUUUUGCAUGUACUUUAUGAAUAAGGAUCGGCUAACUCCGUGCCAGCAGCCGCGGUAAUACGGAGGAUCCGAGCGUUAUCCGGAUUUAUUGGGUUUAAAGGGAGCGUAGAUGGGCUGUUAAGUCAAUUGUGAAAGUUCGGGGCUCAACCGUAAAAUUGCAAUUGAUACUGGCAGUCUUGAGUACAGUAGAGGUAGGCGGAAUGCGUGGUGUAGCGGUGAAAUGCUUAGAUAUCACGAAGAACCCCGAUUGCGAAGGCAGCUUACUAACCUGUGACUGACAUUGAGGCUCGAAAGUGUGGGUAUCAAACAGGAUUAGAUACCCGAGUAGUC
rnacentral:rRNA from 1 species